rnacentral:lncRNA from 1 species
AUUUUUUUCUUUACUUUUAGUCUUUAACAUAAAAAUACCAAAAAUAUUAUCUUAUCAUCUUUAUCAGAUCUCACUUUUGCAAGUGGCCGUGAAGGGAUUGACAACCCCUUUAUCGCGUUGGUUGCAAGGUUCUUAUUUGUUUGUGUAGGUGCAAGGGACUUGAGCGUGGCCUCCUACUGGAUUGAUACCUUGGUUCUCAAAAGCUGAGGGAAAUACUUACGCUACUUUACUGCAUCACCCUUUCCUCUUCAAGGGAAAACCAACGCAGUGCUCAAGAGGUAGCAAGAAGGAUUUCUGGCGCCGUUGUCGGGGAUUGUACGCACAAGUCAAGACAUACCAAGUACCGAUCACAAACUCUUAUCCCUCGUAUUACAUUAUUUGCCAUUUGCCUCUCGUUUUCCUCUCCCCCACUUCACCCUUGCCGUUUUAUUCGCCCUUCUUCUGUUCGUCUUUUUCGUUUGCUUUGAUGUCUUACUUGGCUCGUUUGCUCGUUUGGUUGGAAUAGUUGUUUAUUUUUUUCUAAACAGAGAACCUAAGAUCUAUGGAUCCUCAUCCGCUUGCUAAUCUUUUUAAGAGAUCCAAUUAUGAUGAACCAAUUGCUAGUGAGUUUCAUGCACUAGAUUAUCCUUAUGAAGUUUUGCUUGAAAUUCAUGAAUCUGAAAAUUGUGAUGAAGAAAUUUAUGAAGAGAUUCACGAUAACUCCUUGAAUAAAAAGCAUGAUUGCAAUGAUUUUACUAUAAAUUCUCUUGAUGUCAAUUGUGCUAAUAAUAUGCAAAACCCUAAGCUUGGGGAUGCUAUUUUUACUAUGUCUACUACUUGUUGCAAUGAUCAUGAUUGGGGUGAUUCUUCUUAUGAUCUUGAAAAUUUAUUUAAGCCCCAUGAUGAAUAUGAGAUUGUAAUAGUGUUUGCAAUAUUAUUGAAAGUGGGUUUGGAAGAAUGUCAACUUUAGAUCCCACAUAUUUGGAGAAUGUUCAAUCUUAUGAUUUUUUUGAUAAAAGUGGGUUUGGAGAGGUCAUGACUUUAGUUAAUGUUAACCCCACUAUUUUGGAAGAGUGUCAACUUUGCAUGCAUGUGGAUCGUGUUGAAAAUAUGUUUUGUGAUAGCUAUAUUGUUGAAUUUUCUUAUGAUCCUACAUGUAAUUAUUAUGAGAGAGGAAAAUAUGAUUGUAGAAAUUUUCAUGUUACCAAAUUACCUCUCGUUAUGUUGAGAUUGCUAUUGUUUCUUUCCGCUUCCUUGCAUAUGCUAGUUUUUGUUCGCCCUGAUAAUUUGUUUGCUUAUAAAAUACCUAUGCAUAGAAAUUAUGUUAGACUUAAGUGUGUUUGUCACAUGUUUUAUGAUGCUCUCUUUGUGCUUCAAUUCUUGUCUUUCAUGUGAGCAUCAUUAAAAUUAUCAAUGCCUAGCUAAAAGGGCGUUAAACGAUAGCGCUUGUUGGGAGGCAACCCAAUUUUAUUUUAGUUUUUUUUCUUGUUGCUUCUGUUUAGUAAUAAAUCUUUGAUCUAUCCUCUGGUUAGAUGUGUUUUUAUGUUUUAAUUAGUGUUUGUGCCAAGUAAAACCUAUAGGAUCUUCUUGGAUGAUAGUUAUUUGAUCUUGCUGAAAAUUCCAGAAACUUUAUGUUCACCAAAACAGUUGUUAAAAAUCACCAGAACGUGAUAAAAUACUGAUUCCAAUUGCAGUAGAUCAAUAAACAAAUUAUCUAGGUCGUCCUAUUUUGGUAGAUUUUUCUGAGUUGCAGAAGUUUGUGUUAGAUACAAAUUACUUCAGACUGUUCUGUUUUUGACAGAUUCUGUUUUUCGUGUGUUGUUUGCUUAUUUUGAUGAGUCUAUAGCUAGUAAAAGAUUUUAUAAACCAUAGAGAAGUUGGAAUACAGUAGGUUUAACACCUAUAUAUACAAAGAAUGAGUUCAAUACAGUACCUUGAAAUGGUGUUUUCUUUUCUUUUGCUAACGGAGCUCAUGAGAUUUUCUGUUGAGUUUUGUGUUGUGAAGUUUUCAAGUUUUGGGUAAAGAUUUGAUGGAUUAUGGAACAAGGAGUGGCAAGAGCCUAAGCUUGGGGAUGCCCAAGGCACCCCAAGGUAAAUCCAAGGACACCAAAAAGCCAAAGCUUGGGGAUGCCCCGGAAGGCAUCCCCUCUUUCGUCUUCGUCCAUCGGCAACUUUACUUGGAGCUAUAUUUUUAUUCACGACAUGAUAUGUGUUUUGCUUGGAGCGUAUUGUAUGAUUUGAGUCUUUGCUUUUUAGUUUACCACAAUCAUCCUCGCUGAAUACACUUUUGAGAGAGACACACAUGAUUCAGAAUUUAUUAGAAUACUGUUUGUGCUUCACUUAUAUCUUUUGAGCUAUAUAGUUUUCUGCUCUAGUGCUUCACUUAUAUAUUUUAGAGCACGGUGGUGGUUUUGUUUUAUAGAAACUAUUGUCUCUCAUGCUUCACUUAUAUUGUUUUGAGAGUCCUACAAAACAGCAUGGUAAUUUGCUUAAAUUGUGAAAUUAGUCCUAAUAUGAUAGGCAUCCAAGAUUAGUAAAAACUUUCUUAUAAGUGCGUUGAAUACUAAGAGAAGUUUGAUGCUUGAUGACUGGUUUGAGAUAUGGCGGUAGUGAUAUUAAAGUUGUGCUAGCUGAGUAAUUGUGAAUUUUAAAAAUACUUGUGUUGGAGUUUGCAAGUCCCGUAGCAUGAACGUAUGGUAAACGUUGUGUAACAAAUUUGAAACAUGAGGUGUUCUUUGAUUGUCCUCCUUAUGAGUGGCGGUCGGGGACGAGCGAUGGUCUUUUCCUACCAAUCUAUCCCCCUAGGAGCAUGCGCAUAGUGCUUGGUUUUUGAUGACUUGUAGAUUUUUGCAAUAAGUAUGUGAGUUCUUCAUGACUAAUGUUGAGUCCAUGGAUUAUACGCACUCUCACCCUUCCAUCAUUGCUAGCCUCUUCGGUACCGUGCAUUGCCCUUUCUCGCCUUGAGAGUUGGUGCAAACUUCGCAGGUGCAUCCAAACCCCGUGGUACGAUACACUCUAUCACACAUAAACCUCCUUAUAUCUUCCUCAAAACAGCCACCAUACCUACCUAUUAUGGCAUUUCCAUAGCCAUUCCGAGAUAUAUUGCCAUGCAACUUUCCACCAUUCUGUUUAUUAUGACAUGCUUCAUCAUUGUCAUAUUGCCUUGCAUGAUCAUGUAGUUGACAUCGUAUUUGUGGCAAAGCCACCGUGCAUAUUAUUUCAUACAUGUCACUCUUGAUUCAUUGCCCUUCUCGGUACACCGCCGGAGGCAUUCAUAUAGAGUCAUACUUUGUUCUAGUAUCGAGUUGUAAUCAUUGAGUUGUAAAUAAAUAGAAGUGUGAUGAUCAUCAUUCAUAGAGCAUUGUCCCCCCAAAAAAAGGGGAAAAAAAGGAAAGGCCCAAAAGAAAAAGAAAAAAGAAAAUAAAAAGGGGCAAUGCUACUAUCCUUUUUUCCACACUUGUGCUUCAAAGUAGCACCAUGAUCUUUAUGGUAUAGAGUCUCUUGUUUUGUCACUUUCAUAUACUAGUGGGAAUUUUUCAUUAUAGAACUUGGCUUGUAUAUUCCAACAAUGGGCUUCCUCAAAUGCCCUAGGUCUUCGUGAGCAAGCAAGUUGGAUGCACACCCACUUAAUUUCUUUUGUUGAGCUUUUAUACAUUUAUAGCUCUAGUGCAUCCGUUGCAUGGCAAUCCCUACUCCUUGCAUUGACAUCAAUCGAUGGGCAUCUCCCUAGCUCAUUGAUUAGCCGCGUCAAUGUGAGACUUUCUCCCUUUUUGUCUUCUCCACAGAAAAAGAAUAUCAAACGGAGUCCAAACGGAAUGAAACCUUCGGGAACGUGAUUUUCGGAACAAACGUGAUCCAGAGGACUUGGAGUGGACGUCAAGCAACCAACGAGGAAGCCACGAGGCAGGGAGCGCGCCUACCCCCUGGGCACGCCCUCCACCCUCGUGGGCCCCUCAUGGCUCCACCGACCUACUUCUUCCUCCUAUAUAUACCUACGUACCCCCAAACCAUCAGAAACAGAGCCAAAACCCUAUUUCCACUGCCGCAACCUUCUAUACCCGUGAGAUCCCAUCUUGGGGCCUUUUCUGGCGCUCCGCCGGAGGGGGCAUUGAUCACGGAGGGCUUCUACAUCAACACCAUAGCCUCUCCGAUGAUGUGUGAGUAGUUUACCUCAGACCUUCGGGUCCAUAGUUAUUAGCUAGAUGGCUUCUUCUCUCUCUUUGGAUCUCAAUACAAAGUUCUCCUCGAUUCUCUGGGAGAUCUAUUCGAUGUAACUCUUCUUUUUGCGGUGUGUUUGUCGAGAUCCGAUGAAUUGUGGGUUUAUGAGCAAGAUUAUCUAUGAACAAUAUUUGAAUCUUCUCUGAAUUCUUUUAUGUAUGAUUGGUUAUCUUUGCAAGUCUCUUCGAAUUAUUAGUUUGGUUUGGCCUACUAGAUUGAUCUUUCUUGCAAUGGGAGAAGUGCUUAGCUUUGGGUUCAAUCUUGCGGUGUCCUUUCCCAGUGACAGCAGGGGCAGCAAGGCACGUAUUGUAUUGUUGCCAUCGAGGAUAAAAAGAUGGGGUUUAUAUCAUAUUGCAUGAGUUUAUCCCUCUACAUCAUGUCAUCUUGCUUAAAGCGUUACUCUGUUCUUAUGAACUUAAUACUCUAGAUGCAUGCUGGAUAGCGGUCGAUGUGUGGAGUAAUAGUAGUAGAUGCAGGCAGGAGUCGGUCUACUUGUCACGGACGUGAUGCCUAUAUAAAUGAUCAUACCUAGAUAUUCUCAUAACUAUGCUCAAUUCUAUCAAUUGCUUGACAGUAAUUUGUUUACCCACCGUAAUACUUAUGCUAUCUUUAGAGAAGCCACUAGUGAAACCUAUGGCCCCCGGGUCUAUUUUCCAUCAUAUUAAUCUCCCGUCAACAAGCUAUUUCUGGCGCCGUUUAUUUUUUUCUUUACUUUUAGUCUUUAACAUAAAAAUACCAAAAAUAUUAUCUUAUCAUCUUUAUCAGAUCUCACUUUUGCAAGUGGCCGUGAAGGGAUUGACAACCCCUUUACCGUGUUGGUUGCAAGGUUCUUAUUUGUUUGUGUAGGUGCAAGGGACUUGAGUGUAACACCCCGCAUGUAACUUGCCAUAUUUGUAACUCCGACUCUUGCCAUUUUCGGCUAUGUGUUAUG